CUCUUCUUCUUGUAGUACUAACCGUUUUCUUCCAUAUGUAUCUCGGGGAGGUAUCAUAACACUUUCCAUAGUUCGUGUAGGUUUUGUCUUCUCUUCUUUUCUUCACGAGAACAGACCCAAAUAACCACACCUUUUGUAACUGUUUAUGGAUCAUAGAGAGGAGUUUCAAACCCGGUCCCGCUGAGUAACAUCAAAUAUUCUCUUGAGAAUUUGCGUUAAACCAAAACUCUGUCUUUGUAUAUCUCCCAGAAAAUUCUCCAAAAAGAAAGAAACGUGUUCUUAAGAUUGUUUUAACCUUUUGUUGAAACAUUUGAAAUUUCAUCCUCCAUUGUCAAAAGAUAAUCGUCUAAAAUUGUUGGGAAAUGGGUUCAAAUGGAGGAUGCAAAAAACACAAAGAAAUUGUUGUACUUGUGACUUUCAAGGCUCCAAUAGAUUUCUUUUAGACGAUUAUUUCUAACCUCCCAAUAUCAAUUGGGGAUUGCAACCGGUAUGCGAAAUAAUGCCUUCAGGAUACAUUGAAAGCCCUACAACAGAGAAAUUGGAUUCAAAGGUUUGUACUCCUUGACCCAAUCAAGAAUACACGAGCGAGAUUUCUGAUGAUGCUUUAGACAGAGAGAAAACAGGUUUUUAAUUUUGAUAGUUAAAGAAUGGGAGAAUACCUUCACUACUUAUAGGGAUAUUCAUGCCUAUUGGAGAUGCCUUUUCACUUCUAAAAAACACAUAAGAUGUCUAUUGGGAAUGGUUGUGUCUUUUAUAAACCAACACACCUAUUAAAGGUGUCUCUUCAUCUCCAACUAACAUCCAUUGUGUUUAUCCAACACAGAAUACUUCCCCGUCGUAGCGGCAAACUAAAACAGAAAACUAUUUUAUUUUCUAAGAUAUUGAAAAUAUUCAACAUUCUGGUGGUGUGUUGUUGUUCUUGAGCUCAUAGCAGAGAAGAUUCCGAGUUCGAGAAAGGAAAUAGAGAUGUUGUUGCUGCUGAAGAAACAAUAUGGGUUUGAUUCGUGAAGCAAUUUGGUGGAGUUUUGGGUCUGUUGAUGUGCAUCUGAGAUGAAUUAGGGUUUCACUGAAUGGGAAUUUGAGAUCGAAAUGGAGAUGAUGGAUUAAUGGGUUUGUGAAAUUGUUGAUGGGGUAUCCAGUGAUUUGAAGAUCUGAGAUGAACUGAUGGAUGUGGAUUGAAGCUGAGUGGAUGGUUGAAAUGAAAUAGCAGUUGUGAUGGAGCUAAAGGCAACUGCAGUGGCUCGAAGUUACUGGUGAUGAUUCUGGUGGAUUUCAGAGAUGAGAAGAAUUAGUGCCAUGGGUUCGGUGCUGUUGCAGCAACGGCUAUGUCUGAGUAUAUAGGGUUUUGGUUGCUGUGAAGCUAACAAGAGAAGGACAGAUUGAAUGAAGAUGUUGGCUCAAGAAUGGUGUAGAUGAAUGUUAGGUUUGAAAUGAUGCUAAGGAAUGAGAAGCUAGAAUGAUGCAGUGAGCUAGAUGCAACGCAGAGCUGAGUUAGGUGUUGCAGUGACUGGUGGAGUUCAGUUUGUGUAAACCGGUGUUGUGGUGGUGCUUGAGGUGUUAGAACAGCUGAAAAUAGUGACUACAAUGGAUUUUGGGGGUUGUGUAUGAAUGAAUUGCAGGAACUGAACUGAAAUGGGUAUGGAGCAGCUGCAUUGCAGGAAGGAACAAGUAUAUGGGGAAGAGCAGCUGAGAAGAUUGGGGGUGUUAAAGAUGGUGUUGUUGGGCAGUAUGGUUGGCAUUGAAGUUGCAGUGAUAAUGGCGGAGACAAUGUUGAUCUGGUGAAGUGUUGCUGAUGCUUGUUGCUGUUCUGCAGUGGCUGUGUUGCAGCAGCGAUAGAUGUAUGCUUAGGAUGCAAUGGAAUGGAGCUGUGUUGGUUUGUAGUGAACUGAGCUAAUGGGAAUGAUUUCAUCUGAAAUUGCAGGCAUAUUGCAGGUGCAGUUCUGGUGCACUCUACAAAGAAGAAGUUGAUAUGAGGCUGCAAGAGAUAAUGCAGUGAUGCAGCUGUUGAGUUACAGGUUAUGCAAGAGCUGGUUGCAACAGCUGGGAGGUCAUGCAGCAGUUUGCUGUGGUGGUUAUGUGUUGAGUUGCUGGAGCUGCAAGUGCAGCGAAGGUUGCUUACAAGAAGGGUUUGUGGUGGUGAUAAUGGAGGCCAGGGGUUCAGGUAGAGGAGUUUGUUGGUCGGUAUGAACUGCAGGAAGAACUGAGCCUACUGCCUGACAAGGAAAUGGAUAGUGGUGAUUAAAGUUGCAUGUAGGUGUUGGUUGUUACUGCAGGGAGUGAUGCACAAGGACACAACAGAGCUGAGAUAUUGGAGUCUUGUGACUGGUAGAAGAGAGAAGUAAUGGAUCUGUGGCGAUGAAUGAAUGGAUGUGAUUGAGAAUGCUUUGUGUUUAUGAGGAAAGUGUGGUUAUCUGACUCGUAAUGGCAGGAAUUGGAGCUAUAAAAGAGAUGAAGGCAGCUACAGCAAGGGACUUGCUUGUAGUCACUGAACCAGUUCCGUAGGAAACAACGCGAAAACGCAGUGAGAAUGGUGAGCCGGUGGUACUAGUUUUGGUUGUCGUAUUUCCGAACUUGAAGCAUGAAUCAUAAUAUUUCAGUGAAUCAUAAAGGUAGAACGUGUUGGACGCAAGAGUUAGUUGCGGGAUAUAUGUGUUCGGGGUCGCGCUUUUGGGUGGCCAGAGACAAUUUACCGGUGACAAAUUCCGGCAAUGUCAACCGGAUUCCAGUCGGUGACCCCAAUUUCCCGGCGAACAACUUUGGACAGAGAUUUUCACAUGGGUCUUUCUAGAUAUGGACUUGGUGGACUUCUGUCUAUUGGACUUUGGGGGGACUUGACCUAGUUUUGGAAAGAGGAAACGCUACAAAAGAGAAGUCUUCUACAACUUUAUAUCACGUAUUCUACUUGGAGUUUUGGAGAGAGCCGGAUAUCUUAGGGUUUGCUUUGGUUUUGUUUCAUCUUCUUUAUUUUAUUUUUAUAAUAUUACGAUGAACUCCAUUAUUAUGAGUAGCUAAAAUAAUCUUUGAUUAAGGGUGAUUUCAAAUCCCGAAAUAUGAA